GCAGCUGUAGUCUAGUGGUUUUGAUUCGACCUUCCCAAGGUCGUGGCCCGGGUUCGAUUCCCGGCAGCUGCA
rnacentral:tRNA from 1 species